UUAAUUUAUAAUUUUAUAUAUCGUUGUUUUAAAAAUAUUUUUUAAUAAAAUUAAUAUUUAAAAAUUAAUAUUAGAAAUUAAAUCAGAUCAAGAUGUAGAUUAUAGUUAAGAAUAUAAUGGAUUACAAUAAAUUUAUUUAAAUGAAUAUUAAUUUGUAAGAGUUGAUUGAAGGUGGAUUUAAAUGUAAUUUUAUUUAAUUUAAUAAAAUGAUUUAAAAUUAAAAUAUGU
rnacentral:rRNA from 1 species